UUCCAGACUCCUACGGGAGGCAGCAGUGAGGAAUAUUGGUCAAUGGCGGGAGCCUGAUCCAGCCAAGUCGCGUGAGGGAAGACGGUCCUACGGAUUGUAAACCUCUUUUGCCGGGGAGCAACGGGGUCCUUGCGAGGGCCCGAUGAGAGUACCCGGAGAAAAAGCAUCGGCUAACUCCGUGCCAGCAGCCGCGGUAAUACGGAGGAUGCGAGCGUUAUCCGGAUUUAUUGGGUUUAAAGGGUGCGUAGGCGGGCUGUUAAGUCAGCGGUCAAAUGUCGGGGCUCAACCCCGGCCUGUCGUUGAAACUGGCGGCCUCGAGUGGGCGAGAAGUAUGCGGAAUGCGUGGUGUAGCGGUGAAAUGCAUAGAUAUCACGCAGAACUCCGAUUGCGAAGGCAGCUUACCAAACUAUAUCUGACGUUGAGGCACGAAAGCGUGGGUAGCAAACAGGAUUAGAUACCCCUGUAA
rnacentral:rRNA from 1 species